rnacentral:rRNA from 1 species
AUACGGAGGGUCCAAGCGUUAUCCGGAAUCAUUGGGUUUAAAGGGUUCGUAGGCGGGUCAAUAAGUCAGAGGUGAAAUCUUGCAGCUUAACUGUAAAAUUGCCUUUGAAACUGUUGACCUUGAAUUACUGUGAAGUGGUUAGAAUAUGUAGUGUAGCGGUGAAAUGCUUAGAGAUUACAUAGAAUGCCGAUUGCGAAGGCAGAUCACUAACAGUAUAUUGACGCUGAUGAACGAAAGCGUGGGUAGCGAACGGGAUUAGAAACCCGAGUAGUCC